rnacentral:rRNA from 1 species
AUACGGAGGGGACAAGCGUUAUUCGGAAUCACUGGGCGUAAAGGACGCGUAGGCGGGUUAUUAAGUCGGGUGUGAAAUCCAAUGGCUCAACCAUUGAACUGCAUUCGAAACUGAUAACCUAGAGUAUGGAAGGGGCAGGUGGAAUUAGUGGUGUAGGGGUAAAAUCCGUAGAUAUCACUAGGAAUACCGAAAGCGAAGGCGACCUGCUGGGACAUUACUGACGCUGAGUCGUGAAAGCGUGGGGAGCAAACAGGAUUAGAUACCCGGGUAGUCC